CAGUCGCCGCGGUAAUACGAAGGGUGCAAGCGUUGUUCGGAAUUAUUGGGCGUAAAGGGUGCGUAGGCGGUUUCGUAAGUCUGAUGUGAAAUCUAUGGGCUCAACCCAUAGUCUGCAUCGGAAACUGCGAGGCUUGAGAGUGGGAGAGGUGAGUGGAAUUUCCGGUGUAGCGGUGAAAUGCGUAGAUAUCGGAAGGAACACCUGUGGCGAAAGCGGCUCACUGGACCAUUUCUGACGCUGAUGCACGAAAGCUAGGGGAGCAAACAGGAUUAGAUACCCCGGUAGUCCCUGUCUCUUAUAA
rnacentral:rRNA from 1 species